UACAGAGGUCCCGAGCGUUGUUCGGAUUCACUGGGCGUAAAGGGUGCGUAGGUGGUGAGGUAAGUCGGAUGUGAAAGCUCGGAGCUCAACUCCGAAAUGGCAUUGGAAACUACCUUGCUCGAGGGUUUGAGGGGGGACUGGAAUACUUGGUGUAGCAGUGAAAUGCGUAGAUAUCGUGAGGAAGACCAGUGGCGAAGGCGGAUCUCUGGACAGUUCCUGACGCUGAGGCGCGAAGGCCAGGGGAGCAAACGGG
rnacentral:rRNA from 1 species